rnacentral:rRNA from 1 species
GAUGAACGCUGACAGAAUGCUUAACACAUGCAAGUCCACUGUGACGCACGGGUGAGUAACGCGUAAAGAACUUGCCUCACAGCUCGGGACCACAUUUGGAAACGAAUGCUAAUACCUGAUACUGUGAGAGAGCUUUUCGUCCCAUUAGCUUGUUGGAGAGGUAACGGCUCACCAAGGCGAUGAUGGGUAGCCGGCCUGAGGGGGGGAUCGGCCACAAGGGGACUGAGAGACGGCCCUUACGCCGACGGGCGGCAGCAGUGGGGAAUAUUGGACAAUGGACCAAAGUCUGAUCCAGCAAUUCUGUGUGCACGAUGAAGUUUUCGGAAUGUAAAGUGCUUUCAGUUGGGAAGCGGUACCAACAGAAGAAGUGACGGCUAAAUACGUGCCAGCAGCCGCGGUAAUAC